GUGUAUUGUGUAAUGUGUUUUUUUCUUCUUUUUUCAGCGAUGGCAUUUUCAGUUCAUUUUGAUAUUGUUAAUUUGACUGUCCGUUUGUUAUAUUAUUAUCCCAGGUAUGGGUAAAUGGCUCCACAGUCUUGUGGGUAACUGUGGAAAGUCAAAGGCUAUGGGAGACAACCCAGAAAGAAAUCCGGACACAGAAGCACUAUUUACGAUUUAUUUACUAUGGAUUUGACAGAAAACUGUAGCCUAUGAAACAAGUGACGAAUUAUUGCAUUAAAAUUUAUUAUGCUGUUUUAUUUAACAAACAUCGCAAUAUUUACGGAGAGAACCUAUAUAAAAUAAGAAAUUGGUAGGCAACACACAGAGCUAGAAAUAAGAGGCCAUUGUAGUUACUGAUGUUCGAAAAUCAAUUCAGAAUAUACAAAUUGAAAAAUAAUGUGAGGGAAACGCAUGCAAUAUAGUUAGAGCGAAAAGUAUCCUGCCAUGUAUGCAUUGCCCACCAUGCUAAACUCACACUAAGAUCAGACGAAUGUUUGGAACUCAUAUUUAUGGUUUUAAUGUUUCUGCCCAGUGAUAUUCGAUGCCUUCAAAUUUGAAAAAAGAAGAAAAAAAACCCAAACGUUGGAGAACUGAUAAAACAAAAAAGAAACAAAUGUUUAGCCAAAUUCUAUUAAGGUGAUUGAGAGCUAUAGAUUAGAAACAUUGCUAUAUUUUAAAUGAUUUCCAAAAAUGUAUUUACCCA
rnacentral:lncRNA from 1 species